UGUAGUGUAGUUCAGUUGGUAGAGUGCUUGCCUGACAUUCAUGAAGCUCUGGGUUGCAUCCCCAGCACAGCGG
rnacentral:tRNA from 1 species